CCGGAAGUUUGUUUUUUGAUCGUGAUUGAAGAAGCUUCACUGAAGAAAAUUACAGCAAAGCUUGAUUUAAUAGGGUACAAACACAUCUACAGUACUGAGGGGUAAUUGUUCGUGCAUACCUCGCCGAGAAUGAAGAGAAAAUUUCGCAGUUCAAGAGAUGACUACUUAUCCUGCACCAUAAAAGUACUUUCAUAUAACUCACAGUUGAUGGAUAACAAGGUUAAAGAGUAGUUAUAACCCAAGGAGACGAAUGUUCUAAAAAAUGGAAGCUCAAAAGACGAAUGUUCUAAAAAAAUGGCAGCUCAAAAUCAGUUGUAGACGACUCAAAUCAUGUUCAAAAGUACCUAAGGUAGCAGUGUUACAUGAACACCGACUCGACUAGUAGCAGCAUAUACACAGGGUAUUUUAUGUUUGAUAUUGACUAUCUGAGUGCUAUGAAAGCUGUGGAUCAUCGAAAAUAUUGGUGAUAAACGAGUCAUUGACAUAAGUAUUUUGUAAUUCAGGACAGUGCUUGACUUGAGAAGUUGCAAACGAUGAGUUAAAGUGUGUUCAUAAGUCACUAAACUUUGUUGUUACAUAUUA